GAUGAACGCUGGCGGCGUGCCUAAUACAUGCAAGUCGAACGGAAUUACGAGGCUUUUUUCUUGUGCAAGUGUGGCGAACGGGUGUGAAACACAUGCGUAAUCCCUUCCUCAGUGGGGGAUAACUUCAGGAAACUGGGUAUAAUACCGGAUAGAAGCUCCUGCGCCUUAUUGGGGGUUGGAAAGUUUCGGCGGUUCGGGAUGGACUCGGUGCUUAUAAGCUGGUUGGGGGGGUAGGGGCCUACCAAGCCUUGGACGGGAAGGCGUCCUGAGAGGGGGACCGGCGACAGUGCGACAGAGAUACGGGACAGAGUAGUAAGGGAGGCAGCAGUGGGGAAUAUUCCCCGAUGCGGGGAAGCCUGAUGCAGGAACGCCGCGUGCGGGGUGAUGGACUGCGGGUUGUCAACAGCUUUCGCCUGUGCCGAAACGAGAGUGACGGUACUGGAUAAAGAAGCACCGGCUAACUACGUG
rnacentral:rRNA from 1 species